UGGGUAACCUGCCUCAAAGAGGGGAAUAGCCUCCCGAAAGGGAGAUUAAUACCGCAUAAUAUGUUUAGGUCGCAUGACUUUAACAUCAAAGGAUUUCUUUUAGAAAUUCCACUUUGAGAUGGGCCCGCGGCGCAUUAGCUAGUUGGUGAGGUAACGGCUCACCAAGGCAACGAUGCGUAGCCCGACCUGAGGAGGGUGAUCGGCCACAUUGGAACUGAGACACGGUCCAGCUCCGUAGGAGG
rnacentral:rRNA from 1 species